UGGGGAAUAUUGGACAAUGGGGGCAACCCUGAUCCAGCAAUGCCGCGUGUGUGAAGAAGGCCUUCGGGUUGUAAAGCACUUUUAUCGGGAACGAAACAUUGUCGGCCAAUACCCGGCAAGACUGACGGUACCCGAGGAAUAAGCACCGGCUAACUCCGUGCCAGCAGCCGCGGUAAUACGGAGGGUGCAAGCGUUAAUCGGAAUUACUGGGCGUAAAGCGUGCGCAGGCGGUUUGUUAAGUCUGCUGUGAAAUCCCCGAGCUCAACUUGGGAAUUGCAGUGGAUACUGGCAAGCUGGAGUACGGUAGAGGAAGGUGGAAUUCCCGGUGUAGCAGUGAAAUGCGUAGAGAUCGGGAGGAACACCAGUGGCGAAGGCGGCCUUCUGGACCAGUACUGACGCUCAUGCACGAAAGCGUGGGGAGCAAACA
rnacentral:rRNA from 1 species